CCAAACUUGGUCAUUUAGAGGAAGUAAAAGUCGUAACAAGGUCUCCGUUGGUGAACCAGCGGAGGGAUCAUUAGCGAGUUAAUAAUAAACUCCAAACCCGUGUGAACUUACCUACUGUUGCCUCGGCAGGUCCGUGCUACACGGUACGGAAAGCUACCCUGGAGCUACCCUGUAGCUACCCUGGAGCUGGCCUACCCUAGAGAGGAGCUACCCUGGAGGUGAAAGAAACUCAGGCGAGCGGCUACCCUAGAGUAGGAAAGCUCUCAGCGGGCGAGCACCUACCCUGUAGCACAUGGCCAGGCCUGCCGAAGGCCCCCUAAACUCUGUUUUAUAACUAAAUCUCUGAGCGAACUAUACAAAUAAGUUAAAACUUUCAACAACGGAUCUCUUGGUUCUGGCAUCGAUGAAGAACGCAGC
rnacentral:misc_RNA from 1 species